rnacentral:lncRNA from 1 species
AAUUAAUUCUUAUAAUAAUAACAAUAAUUAAAAAUUAAUAUUUAAUAUCAUUAUUAUUGAAUGAUAAUUUUAUUAUUAUUAUUAUUAUUACUAGUAUUUAGUACAAGUGGUAAAUCACUUGGUGGUCGGUAUUUGAAGUUCUGAGUUUGAAUUAUUAUUAUUCCAGCUAAAUUUAUUUCUAAAAAAAAUAAAUGAAGAGGAUAGCAUCAUGCUAUCUUUCUGAAAAAAAAUAUUAAAUAAUAAUAAUAAUAAUACUAAUUAUUAAAUAUUAAUUUUUAAUAAAUAAUAUUAUAACAAAAAUUAAUUAUUUUUAAAUAUUAGUAGGGUUGGGAGGAGAGAGAGAAAAAAAUUUCUCUCUCCUAGUUAGCAUAUAAAUACUAUUAAAGUUAUCUUUUAUUUUCUAAUUAUUAAAAGAAGGGUAGGUUAGAAAUUUUUUUUAAAAGAUGGCUAGGUUGGGAAUUUUUUUUUCUAAUAAGGCUGUACAUGACAUUAGUUCAUUAAAGGCAGCGUUUGGUUAGGAAAUAGGGAUAGAAAUAGGCCCUUAUCCCCCACUUUAUACCCAAACGUUAAUUUUUUAUCCGAUAAUAGUAGUUCUCGGUUAUCCCCACCAAUACCUUCAUUUUCUAUAUAAAAUUACUUAAAAUUGUUCUUAUCCUCGGGAACAACCCAAUCUUCAUCCAAACACUAUUUUUUUUAUCCUCAUACUUGUAUUUAUUCUUGUAAUAGUUAAUUCUUGCUUAUACCUGGACCAAACGGUGCCUAAAAAGUUGGAAAUCGA